CUCAACAAAUAUUUCUAUCACUUUUUUUUUUUUUUUUUAGCAUCAUCCUCUUUAUGGAUUUUUGCUUGGAGAUUUUGAUGGCCUUGUAGUGAGAGAGGGCCUCAUUUGGACAAUUUGUUCUUCAUCACCUCCCAUUUUCUUGGCAUAAAGGCCAGCCUCAAAGAAGCGUUUUACAGCAUCAUCUACAUACUCCUUCCCUUGCCUAACAUUCAUUCCCUUCCCUACUUUGUCUGGGAAACUUGUGAAGACAUUUUCUCCUUUUAGGACAGCCCCUACCUGCAAUAGCUCUUGCUGGAAUUCAGUCAACUUGUGAAGACAAAUACUUGUGCAUCCUGGUUCAAUUGGAGCUCUCACCACUAAGAUGGAAAAGAAUCCUGAUGUAUGAUUUGCAAACUUACAACCAAAUGCUGAGACCAUCAUUCGAACUGCUGAAGCCAAAGCUAAAAGAAAUGGAAUGGAAAUAUCCGAAUCCAUUGUUGCUUGCAAUUUCCUAUUUGGCCUUCAAAUAUGCAGCAUAUGGAAGCAAGACUUGCAGUGAGAGCUAACCAGGGCUUUGGAUCAAAUGGGUAAAUCUCUUAUAUCA